CCCUCCCCCAGCCUCACUGCCGCCUUGCAGUUUGAUCUCAGACUGCUGUGCUAGCAAUCAGCGAGACUCCGUGGGCAUAGUACCCUCCCAGCCACGUGCGGGAUAUAAACUCCGCCGUUUUUUAAGCCUGUCGGAAAAGCGCAGUAUUUGGAUGGGAGUGACCCGAUUUUCCAGGUGCUGUCAGUCACCCCUUUCUUUGACUUGGAAAGGGAACUCCCUGACCCCUUGCGCUUCCCGAGUGAGGCAAUGCCUCGCCCUGCUUUGGCUCGCGCACGGUGCGCGCACCCACUGACCUGCGCCCACUGUCUGGCACUCCCUAGAGAGAUGAACCCGGUACCUCAGAUGGAAAUGCAGAAAUCACCGUCUUCUGCGUCGCUCAUGCUGGGAGCUGUAGACCGGAGCUGUUCCUAUUCGGCCAUCUUGGCUCCUCCCAGCAGGUCUCCCUAUUCCUUGGGACACAACUGUAUUGAAAUUAGACCAACUAAUACUUCUACAAAGACUUCUGAGUGUUGAAGUGAAAGGAAGAGUUGCACGUCUCUUAUUUUAAAUCAAAAGCUAGACAUGAUGAAGCUUAGUGAGAAAGGUCUGUAGAAAGAUAAGAUGGGCCAAAAGCUAGGCCUCUUGCAUCAGCUAACUGUGGUGUGAAUGCAAAGGAAAAGCUUUUGAGGAAAAUGAAAAUU
rnacentral:lncRNA from 1 species